CAGCCUCAACUCGCCUGUGUUGGUGGCC
rnacentral:piRNA from 1 species